ensembl:lncRNA
CAGACUUUGGGCAGCUUACUUCACCUGCCACCCCCCAAUCUUCGGGUUACUGGGAUAGGGCCUUUCUCCAGAGACUUCCCCAAGAGCCAACUGGACUGUUGUUGGUUAUCUUUUUAGGCAGAAACUAGUGACAUCCUAGCAGCCAGGAGGAAAGUGUGCUGGGGGAGAUACACACUUCUCCCAGCAGUGAAAUGAGCUCUCUGGACUCAGGCACGCCGAAGGUUGCUUAGAACCCUGGGUCUCCAUCUCUCUUGUGCCCAUUGCACAGCGCAGACUCGCGGCUCACCCACGGGAAAGACAGAGAACGCUCUGACCCCAGCACAAACAGACAUCCACGAUAUCUCGAUCCUAAUUAGUGGAGUGGCCUCGAUGAGCAGAGGAGAGGCCCGAGCUUUUCUGCUCAUAUGCCACAACUUUAAAGAGGAUGGUAUUCCUCCAAAACCUCCCUAAACUCCCCAGGUUCUGAAGCAAACUGCAACAGCACAAGUGCGGCUAGAAGAGAGAAAGGGAGCUUUCGUGCAAUUGCAAGGUGUCCACGGCGGGUCCUUCUCAAAGGAAGGUGUUAAAAAUAUAAGUAGUAUGUUUAAACUGUCAGGGAUCCAAAGUGUCACGUUAGAGCAAAAACAAAGCCAGGGGGAAAAGGAGAAAUCAAAAAACACUUCGGGCCAGGGUGGCCUCAUGCAUACCAAUGGUUUUUGUCAUUUAUGGCUGGGCAAGAUUUAUGACUCGGCGCCCCAAAGCUGUAAACAGAGCGCAAAACAGCAAACACUUGUUCCUUAUGGCACAUUGCGGCGGCGCAACUUGAAAGGGGGAACCGGGCCGCGUAGGAGGUGAGAGCCAGCCGCAAAAAUCCGCUGGGCGGCUUUUUCUCUUCAAACCUGCCGGGUUCGGAUGUGGGAUUUGAAGAAAGAAGGCGUGGGUCAAUAAUCAACCCGCACUUUCUCCUCCAAACUGCUGACGCGACUCUCAGCGCCUUCUCAGCUAAACCAGCUGCAGGGGAGGCCAGCUCUCCGUGAGAACCAGCCCCAGGGAAGGGAUCGUCUGGGCGGAGGAUAUGCGAGCUAGGGCUGGGGCUCCCGGAGCGCAUACCUUUCCAGAGCGCCAAGACCAAGCCGCGCAAACCGCAAGGACUGAACCUGAGGAGCCAAGGGAGAUCUGAGCAGGAAGCUCAUCUGGGCCCAGGCCUCAGCCCUCCCCUAACUAGGUGGCUUCUGGGCUUCGGGCCGCCUGGAAGAAGUGGGGCUCAGACUUCCAGUCUAAGAUCUGGCGUCCCGGCUCGAAGACUGCCGGUGGCCCUGCCUCAUGACUCUGCUGAAAUCCAAAGGACUGGCUUUGGAGCAGAUGAAAUGAUUAAAAAUACUUUAUAACGGCGGAAGGUUUUCGUUGGUUGGUUAUUCUUUUUAAAGAGAAAAUACCUUUUUGAUUUCUGCUUCCAGACAUUACCCACCACAGCUGUGCCCUUUCUAGGCAAAUUCCGCAGCAGUUCACCCGGCUCCUCCAAACCCACCAAGCCUUUCUUUGGAGAGGACAGGGUGGAUCCCCGAACUUCCUUAGGUCCCCAUGUUUCCUGAUCUCUCAUCCAAGAGAACUAGAAGAAAAGUUUAUCAGCAGUAGAAGAAUAUUUGGAGCAGCAAAGGUGCCUGAUGGUUCCUUUCUACAUCAAGAGGGUGUCCUGCAUAUCUCUGAGAGGGCCUCAAAGCUCCAAGACCAUCUGUACAGCCAGAGAGGAAGGAAAGGAAAACAUUGAGACAGAAGAAGACUGGAUCUUUUCCCAUAGGAAGAACCAUGAUCAGCCCUGUUGAAAGACUGCAGAAGACCCACUACUUGUGAAGGCCCACACAUUGGAAAUAUGGGAACUUCUCUCCUGCCACAGAGAACAAAAGGAUCAGAGAAACUGAAAAGCACAAGGCGAUAAGAGCUCUGUCAGCAAAUCUGACCCUGGAACCCUCAGCCAACUUUCUGGGGGCAGGAGACCCUGGGGAAGGAGAAGAGAAUCUACUGGUGAGUUCUGCUGGGACUUUAUGGGGCAUUGUUUUUAUAGCCCUAACCCUGAAUCCACCAGCCCUUUACCCAAACCUAGGUAACCUCCCAGACUCUGACCUGCUCCAUAACAGCCUUCUUCUGUCUCUCCUGCAUCCAUGUGAGAGGGGAUACCAAAUAGCUGACAAGUCCUCUGACUCCUGGCUUCAGAAUACCGAACAAGUGGAAGCAAACUUACAACUGUCUUCUGCCACAACUCCACCUGAAGCCUUUAACCUCCAUCCCUGCUUGAGACUCAGAAUCCACGCUGGGCCCUUUUCCCUUCUUCAAACUUGCCCUUCCUGUCUUGAAAGGGAGAGCCCCCAGCCUUGGAGCUCCUGGCAUGAGCCCGAGUUGAGUGGGGAUUAGACAUCCUGCACUUUGCUGCUCAAUUUCGCUCCUGAAAGAUCCACUAUGCCACCAUGCACCGCCACCGCCUCCGCCGCAGCUGCCGCCGCCACCACCACCACCACUGUGAGUCAG